rnacentral:rRNA from 1 species
GAUGAACGCUGGCGGCGUGCCUAAUACAUGCAAGUCGAGCGAACAGAUGAGGAGCUUGCUCCUCUGACGUUAGCGGCGGACGGGUGAGUAACACGUGGAUAACCUACAUAUAAGACUGGGAUAACUUCGGGAAACCGGGGCUAAUACCGGAUAAUAGAUUGAACCGCAUGGUUCAAUAGUGAAAGACGGUUUUGCUGUCACGUAUAGAUGGAACCGGGCCGCAUUAGCUAGGUGGUACGGUAACGGUUUACCAAGGCAACGAUGCGUAGCCGACCAGAGAGAUGGUUCGGCCCCGCUAGAAGUGGGAGACGGGCCAGACUCCGACGGGGACCAGCAGUAGGGACUCACGCGCAAUGGGAGAGAGGAUGACGGAGCAACGGGGGGUAGGUGAUGGAGGUAAUCGGGUCGUGAGGUUGUGUUAUUAGGGAAGAAGAAAUGUGUAAGUAGCUGAACACGUAUUGACGGUACCUGAUGAGAAAGCCACGGCUAACUACGUG